UAGAGCGGCGGACGGGUGACGUAACACGUGGACGAAUCUGCCCCCCGGCCCGGGAUAGCCCCAGGGGAAACCUGGAUUAAUACCGGAUGAGACGGGACCCGCGAAGGCGGGACCCGGGAAAGGCGCUGCGGCGCCGCCGGGGGAUGAGUCUGCGUCCCAUCAGCUAGACGCGGGGUAACGGCCCACCGUGGCGACGAUGGGUAGCCGGCCUGAGAGGGUGACGGCCACAUUGGAACUGAGACACGGUCCAGACUCCUACGGGAGGCAGCAGCUAAGAAUCUUCCGCAAUGGGCGAAAGCCUGACGGAGCGAACCGCCGCGUGAACGAAGAAGGCCGUGAGGUUGUAAAGUUCUUUUCGGGAGGGGGAACAACCGUGGCAGGGAAUGGCCGCGGGAUGACGUGAAUCCCGGAAUAAGCCCCGGCUAACUACGUGCCAGCCGCCGC
rnacentral:rRNA from 1 species